GAAUGUUGGGAAUCGAUCUGAUUCCAAGGAUUGAGAAGUUUUGCAGUGGUCAACUGGUAUAGACAUCCCAUUACCACUACUUCCUUCAUUGGACGGCAAGGUAUUUCUGUUUGGAAAAGUAAUGGAGUCCAGUCAACUUCAUUGAUCUCCAAGGACUGUCAAAAUUAUAAAACUUGCUGUGGAGCUCUGACAUGCCAGAAGCCGCUAGAAAAAGAAGUUUGACAUUCAGAAACUUAUCAAGAGGUUCUACUCUUUGGAUAGAGACCAAAAUCAUACUUUGAAAAAGCCUGACAGGUUUCUUCGGAAAAGUGGCCAUCCAUGGAAUGAAUGAAAUGUUCUCUUUCUAUUCCAGGGAUUGCAGUGGCAAAGCUAGGCUAGGUCUUGGAGGCUGGUGUAAGGCGAUGCGGGUGAAGGCAGGAGGCUGAUGGAGAGACUGGGGGGAAGAAAAGCCGAAAUGGAUUCACGGUGCCUUGGAUGAAGGACGAGAGGGGAACUGCAAGCUCCUUCAACUGGUUCUGUCCGGUGAGAAGUGAUCAAGCUUGGGCUGACAAGAGGCUCAGGGAGCCCUCACGUUCUUUCGCUUUUUUACCUGCCAAUCAAACUGCUACAAGACAACACCCUGAUCUGGCAUGGACAUCGCGGGUCCAAGCCUGUAGCCCCAAAUCGGAUAAUCUCUGCAGCUGAUAACAAGCAAAAGAGAAGCCAGGCAACAGCCAUAUUAAAGAAGAAAACAGUCAACUCUGAGAUCCAACUUAGAAAUAAUGUUUCAUUCAAGAUAAGGCUCGUGGUUUAGGAGAUUGUGACCUGGCUUGCAUCAUUCUAAGACUUCUAUCGUCUGUUUUCAAAACCCAAGGAGGACCUCAU
rnacentral:sRNA from 1 species